UAUAAUUUUUAAAAGUACAACUCGGUUAUAAUUUAUAAAAAGUACAAAACGUUAUAAAAUUGAAAUUUCUUUUUAAAAAGAAAUUUUAAUUAAAUAUUCUUUAUAACCGGGAAUUACUUUACUUCUAGUUUAUAAUAUUUUAUGAUGAUAAUACUAAUUAUGUCUUCUUUUCCCGACAUAAUUAAUAUACUUUUGAUGAUAAUAUAAAAACUGAUUAUAAAACAAACAACAAGUUAAUGGAUAAUAAUCGAAAUCCAACGAAUUUCAUGGUGGUGUUGCCAGUGAUUCCAUCUUAAAUAGUUAAAUUUUUUUAAUGAAAAACUCUAGUAAAAAAUUGUUUUCGUGAAAAAGCUUUACAGUCAAACCUAAGCCAAUCCCACAAGCUUAGAUAGAGAGUGCAUCGUCCUAAAGGACUUCUAAAACAAAAAGUCCUUGCAGUCAAUUCUUUGGCCAAUUCAAUUACAAAUUUAGAAUUAAAUUUUUACAUAUCAAAUUACUUGUUUGUUGUAUUUUUUAAAAUAAUAUUCAAAAAUUCAAAAUUAAGAAUUUUUAAUUAAAUGUUUUUUUUCUCUAUUAUUUUACAGCUAUUAACCAAACCUUUCAAGAUUUGUCUUUCAUAAAUAUGGAGUUCACAAAGGUAUGUAUGUACUAUCAAAAUAUCGAUUUAAGGAAAUGGGAUGGAUGACAUUCAGAUUUUUUGACAUUCAUUAUUUUUCUAUUUUAUUUAUAGUUUAAAAUUAUUUUAGAAAAUAAAAUAUAAAAAUUAAAUUAA